UAGACUCCGCAGGCUUUCUGCACCACACUGAACAGAUGCUAUAACAAAGUAUUUGAAUCAAAAUAAGGUCUGAAAAACAGACAUACUCACCUGUUUUGCAAAAGCAGAGCAGCAGCGCCGAUGAUAAAGAUGAAAGUGGCGCUUCAACCACAUAAAGACACAGGUAUGUGUGUGUGUAAGAAAAGCUCUGGACAAGACUGUUUGAGGAGAGCUCUGAUGAACUUCUUCAGCUCUUUGUCCCCUCUGGUCCACCUCACCAGUCGAGUCAGCACCAGUCGUCCCUCUUCAGCCUGAGCCAGGGCCAGAGUCUAAGCCUGGACAAGUACAGGUGCCUCCUUCUUGCAGCCACAAAGCGUUGUGGGCCAUUGCGCCUCCGACCCCUUCUGCCCUCUCUGCACCUCCCCCUGCCCACCUCAGGAUGCGGCUGCGGGCCGUAGGCACCAGCUGGCGGUCCCCUCCCACCACCGACACACUGCCCAGACGCAUCUUAAACGCUGAAACGGAGACAGAGAGAUAACAGAAAAAGUGGAUGUAUUUUGUAGCUUACAUUAUCUACAUCAGUUUGUUCUCACCAUAUGGACUGCGGCAGAAGUUUUCCUGGAUGUCAGUCUCUCCUUCAGCAGCCAGGCUGCAGGCAUCACAGAUAACACUCCCUGGGGGGU